GAUUGGUGCGGAGGUCCAAGGGAAAAUUGAUGGAGCAUUCGACUCGGGUUAUUUAAUGACUGCAACUGUUAAUGGAAAGCUAUUAAGAGGAGUCUUGUUUGCACCAGGACUUGGAGAGGAAUGGGAAAAAUGUGAAGGGCUUUUCAAAAGAGAAUCUAAAUGACCAUAUCUUGAACCAGAGAUUUCAGUUUCUCCAUAUUUGGAUCCUUAGGGAGUAUUUAGCAUAUGCUAUGGGAAUCCCAGAUGUUAAAGGAGAUUUGGAGCGCCUAAUUGAUGAUUUUGUUUUGAUGUGUUUGUUUGUGGGGAAUGACUUUCUACCUCACAUUCCCUCAUUGGAAAUAUCUGAGGUUGUCCACAGAAAAAGGGAA